UGAAUUGCGAUAAGUAAUGUGAAUUGCAUCACCUGUGAAUCAUCAAAUUUUUGAACGCACCUUGCGCUUUUUGGGUCUACUGAAAAGCAUAUCUGUUUGAGUAUCAGAAAAUACUCCAAUAAAUAUGGUUUAUAUCAUUAUUUAUUUGGGAAUUGAGGUUCAUAUUAGUAUGUUCCUUUAAAUCAAGAUAAACAAGUACUUCUACUAACUACUUCUUAAAGUGCGGUAAGAAAAAGGUAGUUUUUCUCCCACUGAAAACAGUAAAUAGAUAGUUGUCUGAACUCUUGAUCUCAAAUCAGAUAGGAUCACCCGCUGAACUUAA
rnacentral:misc_RNA from 1 species